rnacentral:rRNA from 1 species
CCUACGGGUGACAGCAGUGAGGAAUAUUGGUCAAUGGACGAGAGUCUGAACCAGCCAAGUAGCGUGAAGGAUGACUGCCCUAUGGGUUGUAAACUUCUUUUAUAAAGGAAUAAAGUGAGGCACGUGUGCCUUUUUGUAUGUACUUUAUGAAUAAGGAUCGGCUAACUCCGUGCCAGCAGCCGCGGUAAUACGUAGGAUCCGUGCGUUAUCCGGAUUUAUUGGGUUUAAAGGGAGCGUAGGUGGGUUGUUAAGUCAGUUGUGAAAGUUUGCGGCUAAACCGUCAAAUAGCAAUUGAUACUGGCAGUCUUGAGUACAGUUGAGGUAGGCGGAAUUCGUGGUGUAGCGGUGAAAUGCUUAGAUAUCACGAAGAACUCCGAUUGCGAAGGCAGCUUACUAAGCUGCCACUGACAUUGAUGCUCGAAAGUGUGGGUAUCAAACAGGAUUAGAUACCCUAGUAGUC